AGUGAACGCUGGCGGUAGGCCUAACACAUGCAAGUCGAACAGCAGCACAGUAAGAGCUUGCUCUUACGGGUGGCGAGUGGCGGACGGGUGAGGAAUACAUCGGAAUCUACUUUUUCGUGGGGGAUAUCGUAGGGAAACUUACGCUAAUACCGCAUACGACCUACGGGUGAAUGCAGGGGAUCUUCGGACCUUGCGCGAUUGAAUGAGCCGAUGUCGGAUUAGCUAGUUGGCGUGGUAAAGGCCCACCAAGGCGACGAUCCGUAGCUGGUCUGAGAGGAUGAUCAGCCACACUGGAACUGAGACACGGUCCAGACUCCUACGGGAGGCAGCAGUGGGGAAUAUUGGACAAUGGGCGCAAGCCUGAUCCAGCCAUACCGCGUGGGUGAAGAAGGCCUUCGGAUUGUAAAGCCCUUUUGUUGGGAAAGAAAAGCAGCAGGUUAAUACCCCGCUGUUCUGACGGUACCCAAAGAAUAAGCACCGGCUAACUUCGUG
rnacentral:rRNA from 1 species